rnacentral:lncRNA from 1 species
CAUUUCUAUUGCAGGAUUGAUCUUCCACAGCAAAUCUUUAGUCGUCCAGCAUCAUCACUUGUUUUCCAGUCAUUCAUUUGACAUAGAACGUUUUUCUAAAAAGUAAAUUGUAAUUAGCGGUUCGACAGCUUUUCUUUUGGUUACUGUGAUGGAUUUCUCUGCUGGAUGGAAGCGUGCACCCUCCUGCACCAGUAAGGGUUUGCCGCUCUUGCUGGUGUUCAUGUUCUUUGUAGUGGUGUCAUCUGAUGGAUCGAUUCUGCCGAAUUUUGAUCUGAGUGAGUUUUCAUCAUCGCUCCAGUCUCUGGCCAAAGAUACUGGAGACGGAUUGGGUCAAUAUCUGGAGUCUAUUGCAGGAAUCAGUGUUGUCCAGGUAACGUUGGAGAUGCUGCAGAAGAGAGCAGUAAAGGUCUUGAAUGCUGUUGUGGACUACCUUUCCAAGGUCAUGAGUAUGGCAGGAAUGGAUGCAAAUGUCCUCCUGCCUCGCUUCAGAGCAGAGGACAUCAUCCCCCUUGCUAAGUGGGGACUGAUGCCACUGCUCGGCUACUGGAAGCCGUCCUUACUGCUGAAGCUGGGGAAGGUAUUGCUCAGCUGGAGCAUCUGGCUGACGAAAAUCAUCACAUUGGGCCCUUUUUCUUUUUUUUGGAAGUUUUUUCUUCAAUUUCUCAAAAGGCUGCUGAAGUCAAUUGGCACUUUUAUUUUCAGUUCUCUCAAGCCAAAUCUCAGCAUCAAGAAGGGCCUGUUUAAGAAGAAGUCCUAAACUGGGCUUGUGCCUGAAAGGCAAGAAUAGUUGGAAGUGGAUUUGUCUGUGAUUUGCUGUAUUAUCCAUUGUAUUAGUAUUUUAGUAAGCAAUUAAUGUACCACACACAUAUACAUAAGUACAUGUUAUGAAGGAUAAAAUAUUGUGCUCUCUGUGGUUCAUCUUGG